rnacentral:lncRNA from 1 species
CUGUGCACGUGUGUGCUGCUUCUCUGGCCAGGCCCGGCUGCCCCACUCAUGUGUGCACCCAGUUCCUCAUCACUGUCACCCCCGAGGCCCAGGGCCAGCAUCAGAGCAUCCAUGGCUGCUCCCUAACCUCAGCCCUCCCCGCCCAGGGUGGUCCUGGGAUACACAUAGGGGUGGAGGGAAGUGACUGCUGCUGUUGGAUCUCAGAAUACAAAAGGCCUAGGGGAUGCCAAAUUCCAGGGGCCAGAAAGAGCUUGGGAUAAAAAGAAACUUCAAGGGGACGGCUUUGACCUGGGCUGAGUCUGCCUGUGCCAUCCAACUGGAGUCUCAAGUCCUGAGGCAGGACGUCCAGAUGCCCCAGUGCAGGGUCCUCCUGAUCAACACCUGCUCCCCUGUACUCAUUAGCAACCUCACCCACCCUACUCUCAAAGCACACUUGGCUCUCGUAUCCAGGAGCUCUGCAUCUGUAGAUUCAGCAACAGCAGAUGGAAAAUAUUCAGAAAAUAAAUUGGACGGUUAUGUUUCUAUUGAACA